AUUAUGCAGGUGACUACAAACUGCCCAGAUUGACAGAGCCACAAGAAAGAAAGGUGCCUGGAUGAAGGAGAGCUGCCCUCUGACCUGGAACACCCAUUCUGGAUUAUUAUAGCUAUUUGAAUCCUAGAACACUGUGGGGAGUGAGGGGUAAUUUCAGAAGUACUGAUAUAAAGGAAGUCUACCAUUUUCCAGCCCUUGGAACAGCAGAAAGGAGAAAAGAGACAGUAAGAAAGAUGUGUCCUGCCCUAGGUGGUUUGGCUCAGUGGUUAGAGU